rnacentral:misc_RNA from 1 species
GAUGAAGAACGCAGCGAAAUGCGAUAAGUAGUGUGAAUUGCAGAAUUCAGUGAAUCAUCGAAUCUUUGAACGCACAUUGCGCCUCCUGGUAUUCCGGGAGGCAUGCCUGUUCGAGCGUCAUUAAAAUCACUCAAGCUUAGGUUUACCUAUUGCUUGGUCUUGGAGAUGGAAGCCAAUUUAUUGGUAUCCUCUUCGAAAUUCAAUGGCGAAGACCCUUGCUCUCCCAAGUGUAGUAAUAACUUAUGUCACUGAAGGAAGCGAGAAAUCUUCUGCCGUAACCCCCAUAUUUUCUAUGAUUGACCUCGGAUCAGGUAGGGAUACCCGCUGAACUUAAGCAUAUCAAUAAGCGGAGGA